rnacentral:rRNA from 1 species
GGGCCCGCACAAGCGGCGGAGCAUGCGGAUUAAUUCGAUGCAACGCGAAGAACCUUACCAAGGCUUGACAUAUAGAGGAAAAGUGCAGAAAUGCACUCCCCGCAAGGUCUCUAUACAGGUGGUGCAUGGUUGUCGUCAGCUCGUGUCGUGAGAUGUUGGGUUAAGUCCCGCAACGAGCGCAACCCUCGUCCUAUGUUGCCAGCACGUAAUGGUGGGAACUCAUGGGAUACUGCCGGGGUCAACUCGGAGGAAGGUGGGGAUGACGUCAAAUCAUCAUGCCCCUUAUGUCUUGGGCUUCACGCAUGCUACAAUGGCCGGUACAGAGGGCUGCAAUACCGUAAGGUGGAGCGAAUCCCAAAAAGCCGGUCUCAGUUCGGAUUGAGGUCUGCAACUCGACUCCGUGAAGUCGGAAUU